CACAUGAUAGCCGACCUGAGAGGGUGAUCGGCCACAUUGGAACUGAGACACGGCCCAGACUCCUACGGGAGGCAGCAGUGGGGAAUAUUGCGCAAUGGGGGAAACCCUGACGCAGCAACGCCGCGUGAGGGAUGAAGGUCUUCGGAUCGUAAACCUCUGUCUUUAGGGACGAUAAUGACGGUACCUAAUGAGGAAGCCACCGCUAACUACGUGCCAACAGCCGCGGUAAUACGUAGGUGGCAAGCGUUGUCCGGAUUUACUGGGCGUAAAGAGUAUGUAGGUGGGUGCUUAAGUCAGAGGUGAAAUGCCCCGGCUCAACCCGGGAGCUACAUUUCAAACUGGGCAUCUAGAGUGCAGGAGAGGAAAGUGGAAUUCCUAGUGUAGCGGGGAAAUGCGUAGAGAUUAGGAAGAACACCAGUGGCGAAGGCGACUUUCUGGACUGUAACUGACACUGAGAUACGAAAGCGUGCGUAGCGAACAGGAUUCGAUACCCUGGGAAUCCACCCCGAUUAC
rnacentral:rRNA from 1 species